rnacentral:rRNA from 1 species
UACGGAGGGUGCGAGCGUUGUUCGGAAUCACUGGGCGUAAAGCGCGUGUAGGCGGCCUCUUAAGUCUGAUGUGAAAGCCCGGGGCUUACCCCCGGAAGUGCAUUGGAAACUGGGAGGCUAGAGUACCGGAGAGGAAGGUGGAAUUCCUGGUGUAGCGGUGAAAUGCGUAGAUAUCAGGAGGAACACCGGUGGCGAAGGCGGCCUUCUGGACGGAUACUGACGCUGAGACGCGAAAGCGUGGGGAGCAAACAGG